rnacentral:rRNA from 1 species
GCGGUUAAAAAGCUCGUAGUUGGAGUUCUGCCAGGUGACACUCGUCCGCCCAAGUGGUGUGUACAGGGUAUGCAUCUGGCCCUUUCAAGGGGAACGUGUCUGCACUUCAUUGUGUGGUGCGAGAUCCUUGACUUUUACUUUGAGGAAAUAAGAGUGUUCCAAGCAGGCUCUCGUCGUGCAUAGCUCAGCAUGGAAUAAUAGCAUUGGACUUCGUUUCUACGCUGUUGGUUGCAAGAAGCGAGGUAAUGAUGAAGAGGGAUAGUUGGGGGCAUUCGUAUUUAACUGUCAGAGGUGAAAUUCUUGGAUUUGUUAAGGACGGACUACUGCGAAAGCAUCUGCCAUGGAUGUUUUCAUUGAUCAAGAACGAAAGUUAGGGGAUCGAAGACGAUCAGAUACCGUCCUAGUCUUAACUAUAAACCAUGCCGGCUAGAGAUUGGAGGUCGUUCGAUUUGUGACACCUUCAGCAUCUUGAGAGAAAUCAAAGCCUUUGGGUUCCGGGGGGAGUAUGGUCGCAAGGCUGAAACUUAAAGGAAUUGACGGGAGGGCACCACCAGGAGUGGAGCCUGCGGCUUAAUUUGACUCACACGGGGAAACUUACCAGGUCCGGACUUAGUAAGGAUGUACAGAUUGAUAGCUCUUUACAGAU